GGGGCCGUAGCUCAUCUGGGAGAGCGCUUGCCUUGCACGCAUGAGGUAGCGAGUUCGAUCCUCGUCGGCUCCACCA
rnacentral:tRNA from 2 species